GACGAACGCUGGCGGCGUGCUUAACACAUGCAAGUCGAACGGAAAGGCCCUGCUUUUGUGGGGUGCUCGAGUGGCGAACGGGUGAGUAACACGUGAGUAACCUGCCCUUGACUUUGGGAUAACUUCAGGAAACUGGGGCUAAUACCGGAUAGGAACUCCUGCUGCAUGUCGGGGGUUGUAAAGUUUCGGCGGUUGGGGAUGGACUCGCGGCUUAUCAGCUUGUUGGUGGGGUAGUGGCUUACCAAGGCUUUGACGGGUAGCCGGCCUGAGAGGGUGACCGGCCACAUUGGGACUGAGAUACGGCCCAGACUCCUACGGGAGGCAGCAGUGGGGAAUAUUGCACAAUGGGCGGAAGCCUGAUGCAGCAACGCCGCGUGCGGGAUGACGGCCUUCGGGUUGUAAACCGCGUUCGCCUGUGACGAAGCGUGAGUGACGGUAAUGGGUAAAGAAGCACCGGCUAACUACGUG
rnacentral:rRNA from 1 species